rnacentral:rRNA from 1 species
AGCGUACACGGUGGAUGCCCUGGCAGUCAGAGGCGAUGAAGGACGUGCUAAUCUGCGAAAAGCGUCGGUAAGGUGAUAUGAACCGUUAUAACCGGCGAUGUCCGAAUGGGGAAACCCAGUGUGUUUCGACACACUAUCAUUAACUGAAUCCAUAGGUUAAUGAGGCGAACCGGGGGAACUGAAACAUCUAAGUACCCCGAGGAAAAGAAAUCAACCGAGAUUCCCCCAGUAGCGGCGAGCGAACGGGGAGGAGCCCAGAGCCUGAAUCAGUGUGUGUGUUAGUGGAAGCGUCUGGAAAGGCGUGCGAUACAGGGUGACAGCCCCGUACACAAAAAUGCACAUGCUGUGAGCUCGAUGAGUAGGGCGGGACACGUGGUAUCCUGUCUGAAUAUGGGGGGACCAUCCUCCAAGGCUAAAUACUCCUGACUGACCGAUAGUGAACCAGUACCGUGAGGGAAAGGCGAAAAGAACCCCGGCGAGGGGAGUGAAAAAGAACCUGAAACCGUGUACGUACAAGCAGUGGGAGCCCUGAUUUAUCAGGGUGACUGCGUACCUUUUGUAUAAUGGGUCAGCGACUUAUAUUCUGUAGCAAGGUUAACCGAAUAGGGGAGCCGGAGGGAAACCGAGUCUUAACUGGGCGUUAAGUUGCAGGGUAUAGACCCGAAACCCGGUGAUCUAGCCAUGGGCAGGUUGAAGGUUGGGUAACACUAACUGGAGGACCGAACCGACUAAUGUUGAAAAAUUAGCGGAUGACUUGUGGCUGGGGGUGAAAGGCCAAUCAAACCGGGAGAUAGCUGGUUCUCCCCGAAAGCUAUUUAGGUAGCGCCUCGUGAAUUCAUCUCCGGGGGUAGAGCACUGUUUCGGCAAGGGGGUCAUCCCGACUUACCAACCCGAUGCAAACUGCGAAUACCGGAGAAUGUUAUCACGGGAGACACACGGCGGGUGCUAACGUCCGUCGUGAAGAGGGAAACAACCCAGACCGCCAGCUAAGGUCCCAAAGUCAUGGUUAAGUGGGAAACGAUGUGGGAAGGCCCAGACAGCCAGGAUGUUGGCUUAGAAGCAGCCAUCAUUUAAAGAAAGCGUAAUAGCUCACUGGUCGAGUCGGCCUGCGCGGAAGAUGUAACGGGGCUAAACCAUGCACCGAAGCUGCGGCAGCGACACUGUGUGUUGUUGGGUAGGGGAGCGUUCUGUAAGCCUGUGAAGGUGUGCUGUGAGGCAUGCUGGAGGUAUCAGAAGUGCGAAUGCUGACAUAAGUAACGAUAAAGCGGGUGAAAAGCCCGCUCGCCGGAAGACCAAGGGUUCCUGUCCAACGUUAAUCGGGGCAGGGUGAGUCGACCCCUAAGGCGAGGCCGAAAGGCGUAGUCGAUGGGAAACAGGUUAAUAUUCCUGUACUUGGUGUUACUGCGAAGGGGGGACGGAGAAGGCUAUGUUGGCCGGGCGACGGUUGUCCCGGUUUAAGCGUGUAGGCUGGUUUUCCAGGCAAAUCCGGAGAAUCAAGGCUGAGGCGUGAUGACGAGGCACUACGGUGCUGAAGCAACAAAUGCCCUGCUUCCAGGAAAAGCCUCUAAGCAUCAGGUAACAUCAAAUCGUACCCCAAACCGACACAGGUGGUCAGGUAGAGAAUACCAAGGCGCUUGAGAGAACUCGGGUGAAGGAACUAGGCAAAAUGGUGCCGUAACUUCGGGAGAAGGCACGCUGAUGGUAGGUGAAGCGACUUGCUCGUGGAGCUGAAAUCAGUCGAAGAUACCAGCUGGCUGCAACUGUUUAUUAAAAACACAGCACUGUGCAAACACGAAAGUGGACGUAUACGGUGUGACGCCUGCCCGGUGCCGGAAGGUUAAUUGAUGGGGUCAGCGCAAGCGAAGCUCUUGAUCGAAGCCCCGGUAAACGGCGGCCGUAACUAUAACGGUCCUAAGGUAGCGAAAUUCCUUGUCGGGUAAGUUCCGACCUGCACGAAUGGCGUAAUGAUGGCCAGGCUGUCUCCACCCGAGACUCAGUGAAAUUGAACUCGCUGUGAAGAUGCAGUGUACCCGCGGCAAGACGGAAAGACCCCGUGAACCUUUACUAUAGCUUGACACUGAACACUGGUCCUUGAUGUGUAGGAUAGGUGGGAGGCUUUGAAGUGUGGACGCCAGUCUGCAUGGAGCCGUCCUUGAAAUACCACCCUUUAAUGGCUGGUGUUCUAACGUGGGCCCGUAAUCCGGGUUGCGGACAGUGUCUGGUGGGUAGUUUGACUGGGGCGGUCUCCUCCUAAAGAGUAACGGAGGAGCACGAAGGUUGGCUAAUCCUGGUCGGACAUCAGGAGGUUAGUGCAAUGGCAUAAGCCAGCUUGACUGCGAGCGUGACGGCGCGAGCAGGUGCGAAAGCAGGUCAUAGUGAUCCGGUGGUUCUGAAUGGAAGGGCCAUCGCUCAACGGAUAAAAGGUACUCCGGGGAUAACAGGCUGAUACCGCCCAAGAGUUCAUAUCGACGGCGGUGUUUGGCACCUCGAUGUCGGCUCAUCACAUCCUGGGGCUGAAGUAGGUCCCAAGGGUAUGGCUGUUCGCCAUUUAAAGUGGUACGCGAGCUGGGUUUAGAACGUCGUGAGACAGUUCGGUCCCUAUCUGCCGUGGGCGCUGGAGAACUGAGGGGGGCUGCUCCUAGUACGAGAGGACCGGAGUGGACGCAUCACUGGUGUUCGGGUUGUCAUGCCAAUGGCACUGCCCGGUAGCUAAAUGCGGAAGAGAUAAGUGCUGAAAGCAUCUAAGCACGAAACUUGCCCCGAGAUGAGUUCU